rnacentral:misc_RNA from 1 species
ACUUCUAUACAGUCAUUCAACUCGGAAGAACAAUACGUCAUGAAAAAAUGUCAGCAUAACUUUAAAUGUUUCCAGUGUUUAUACAUUCAACUAUUUUAUCAUGAUAACCAUUUUUCAACUUCUCAAAAUGCACAAUAAACACUGAGAGGCGUCCAGGAGUAAAAUAUAGAUGUAAUCAUUAUUCCCACAAAAUAAUCAAAUCCUUCUACCUUUACUAAAAUUGUAGGAUAAUACCACAGAAUUUCAGCUCCUCAAGCAAGUUUGAAACUAAAUAUUUACAAAUAAGAUGGCAACAAAGUUCCUUAUGGCACAAUGAGCAGAAAGUAAUCCUUCUGCUACCUCAAACACUUACUUUUCAAAAAUGACUUCAACAAAUACAGGACAAAACUACCCAGAUGACUUAAACGAUUUUCCAAUAUCAUAAAAAUUCAAAGAUUCAUCAUCACUAAAAAAACAUUAAAAAUCCAAAACAGAGUUACGAAAUGGGAAACAAAUUUGAAUCAUUUAAUAAGAAGGUGGGCUAAUUAUACAACAUUGAGUAUGAUACGUAUAUUCAAUAAGCAAAUCGAAUAAGGUACCAUGUGGGAGAAGAGAUGCCCAG